UGUCUGCACCUUUCGAAACAGCGCUGAGGCAUUCAAAUGCAUGAUGUGCGAUGUGAGGAAGGGCACUUCCACUAGGAGGCUCUGCAGUGUCCCGGGGCUUGAUGUAAUCAGCACAGUGUCAUCCACAAACAGGAACAUCUGGAGGACCUCACCAUCUACAGAUCCACAUACUUUGAAGUUAUUGUGAAUGCCUCGAGGACCAUGGAACCGUUGAAAUUUCAAAUUUCACGAAGUUCCAGUGGAUGGCCAUCAAGAAGAUUCUGAUGCUGUACAGAUUGGCAAGACAGUGUGGAUCUGUGAGGGAAAAGACCCAAUAGGAAAACUCCAGUUGCUGGCAAUUGGGGUUAAGUGACUUGUCCAAGGUCACACAGCUAUAACAACUGACUACUUAUCCUCCCUUCGCUUGAAGACCUGCAGUGAGAUGUCCAUCUCCUAUGACAACCUGUUACAUUUUUUGAAUAGCUCUGAUUAUUAAGACUUUUUCCUUCAUAUUGAGAUGAAAUCUGGCAGUAACUUUCACCAUUUGUUUUAAUUCGGCCCUCCAAGGCCAAGUAGAAUAGGUCUUACCUCUGUUUUCUGUAUUACGAUAAUGAGAAUAGUGGUAAAGGUGCUAGUGAUUUUUAACCUCCUUGUAAAACUUAACAUCUUAAGAAAUAUUUUUUUUUAUUCAAUUGACUUUUUUUUUACUAGAUCCUAGCUUUCUUAUUGAGAUGGGCCAAAUUCAUAUGUUGAUAGCUUUUUUGACCUUGAUUCAAUAUUCCAUUAUAGUAACUAUCUUUUCCAGCUUUGUCAUUUCCAAAUUUAACAAGUGUUCAUCCAAAUCACUGAUGAAAACAAAUGAACAAAACAGUGCCAAGGACAGAAUCUAGUGGCAGUACACUGGAGACCUCCUUAUUUGACAUCAAUACCAGUCUUUGGAUUUAGUCAGUUAGCCAUUCUAAAUCUUCUUGUACUAGCAUGCAGUGUAACUAUAUAUAGGACAUGGUUAAUGAGCAGUUUUAGCAAACCUUAUCAGACAAAAGUGUCUUAUCAAUUAAUAUUUCAAAGUUGUUUUGGUAUUCUGAUGUCUGAAAUAUGCCCAGUAAACUUCUUUUCAGUUUUAUGGUUAUGUGUUUAAGUUUUAGGUUUCAUGUAGCCCUGGGUAGAACCUGUUCUUAUUUGGGUUGGGUUUCCUGCAUUCAUCUGAUGACUUCUAUACACACUCUUCUUCCAAGGUAGGAGCAGCAAUGGCAGUCCCUUAAUUUGACUUCAGUGUGACUUCAGGGUUUGGAUGGAUUUUCUUGGUGACAUAAGUAACUUGGUGCAAUUGAUAAUCAAAACAAACAUUCAAAAAUGAAAUAAUCUCUGUCCUUAAGGACUGUAUGAUCUUUUUGGGGAGAAAACAUGUAUACAUAUAAGUAUACACAAAACAAUGGAAGGUAAUUUCGGUGGACAGGCAGUGGCAGCUGAGUGAAGAUCAGGAAAGGCUUUCUAUAAAAGGUAGCUCUUGAGCUGAGCUUUGAAGGAGACUAGGAACUAUAAGGGGCAGAGAUGAGGAAAAAACACAUUCAAGGCAUGAGUGAUAAGACAUGGAGGAUGAUGUGUGAGAAACAGUAAGAAUGCCAGUUUGGCCAGAACAUGAGCAAGAGAGUAUGAGAAAAAGAGCAAGAUCGGAAAAAUAGAAUGAGCCAGGUUUGUGAAGAGCUUUUAGUGUUAAGCAGAGGAGUUUGUAUUUGGUCCUGUAACUAAUAGGGAGCCUAUGUUCCACUUCUCCUUUUCUGAGCAGACCUAAAACAACAAUUAGUAGUUAUACCAAUUGCUUAGGUUUACUUACAACCCCAGUAUGGAGGGAACAGAGAACUGGGGAAAGGACUGCUGCUAUUUAUUGGUCUCCUGUCAUCUUGAUACAGUAAGCAAUGAGUGUUCUGCUUUUACUACUAUUUUGACUUCUUUGAAAUCAAAAUAGCUAUUAAUGCUUUUUCAAAAAGAAAAAGAAAAGAGAUUAGCAUCAGUUUGGUAUUAGACAGGGAGUGGUUAAAUUAAGAUGGGACAAUGGUGCUGAUCAAUGUUCUGCCUGUCUUACAUCCCUAGGAACUGAAAGAUGUCAUGGAUGUAAUUGCUGAACUACUGUCUGAUCUUUGAAAAGUUGUGAAUUAUGGAGAGGUCUAACUCAGGAGAUGGGCAAAUGUCCCUACUUUCAAAAAGGGAAGAAGGAAACCUCGACCUGUCUCCCAGUUGGUUGCACAGCAAGUUACCCAGCAGUUUGUGCCCCCCCCACA